CCCCCCACGUGAUCAACACCUACACGACCACCUUGCCGUGUAACCCAGCGGCCAACUUCACCCUGCAGCAGAACGGUCAGGUCAAGGUCUGUGUACGGGUAUCACGUGAUCUGGUCAAUUACACAACGGCCAGACAAACCUGUCAAGAUUAUGGGGGUUACAUGUAUACCGUAAAGACUCGAGAAAAGUUGAAUAUUAUUUCUGCCAUCGCAACGACCCUAGCAGUAGACUUGUGGGUAGGACUGGAUGAUAUUGUACAGGAGAACGUGUUUAGAUGGGUGGAUGACGGGUCUAUACUACCUCUAGGCUGGAGAACUACAAUCUUCUGUACAAACCAGCCCGACAACUACCUAGGCAAUGAGAACUGUGCCUACUACUGCAUGGGGUGCCAACCGUUAAAUGACGGCAACUGUGGUGCUCUGAGAAGGUUCGUCUGCGAGA